rnacentral:rRNA from 1 species
UACGUAGGGUGCAAGCGUUAAUCGGAAUUACUGGGCGUAAAGCGUGCGCAGGCGGUUUUGUAAGUCUGUCGUGAAAUCCCCGGGCUCAACCUGGGAAUGGCGAUGGAGACUGCAAGGCUGGAAUCUGGCAGAGGGGGGUAGAAUUCCACGUGUAGCAGUGAAAUGCGUAGAGAUGUGGAGGAAUACCGAUGGCGAAGGCAGCCCCCUGGGCCAACACUGACGCUCAUGCACGAAAGCGUGGGGAGCAAACAGG